UACGAAGGGGGCUAGCGUUGUUCGGAAUUACUGGGCGUAAAGCGCGCGUAGGCGGACGCUUAAGUCAGGGGUGAAAUCCCGGGGCUCAACCCCGGAACCGCCUUUGAUACUGGGCGUCUGGAGUCCGGAAGAGGUUGGUGGAAUUCCGAGUGUAGAGGUGAAAUUCGUAGAUAUUCGGAGGAACACCAGAGGCGAAGGCGGCCAACUGGUCCGGUACUGACGCUGAGGCGCGAAAGCGUGGGGAGCAAAC
rnacentral:rRNA from 1 species